rnacentral:rRNA from 1 species
GAUGAACGCUGGCGGCGUGCCUAACACAUGCAAGUCGAACGGAGUCCAGCCUUUAAGACCUUCGGGUCAAAGAGGGGAAGCCUGAGUGGCGGACGGGUGAGUAACACGUGGGCAACCUGGCUCAUAGAGGGGGAUAACAGAGAGAAAUUUCUGCUAAUACCGCAUAAGCACACACUGCCGCAUGGCAGAGGGUGAAAAGAGAAUCGCUAUGAGAUGGACCCGCGUCUGAUUAGCCAUUUGGCAGGGUAAGAGCCUACCAAAGCGACGAUCAGUAGCCGAUCUGAGAGGAUGAACGGCCACAUUGGGACUGAGACACGGCCCAAACUCCUACGGGAGGCAGCAGUGGGGGAUAUUGCACAAUGGGGGGAACCCUGAUGCAGCGACGCCGCGUGAGUGAAGAAGUAUUUCGGUAUGUAAAGCUCUAUCAGCAGGGAAGAUAAUGACAGUACCUGAAUAAGAAGCCCCGGCUAACUACGUG